rnacentral:misc_RNA from 1 species
AAGCAUAUGGAAUUCUAUUCUGUAUCUACCCACCCUGCGUACUACUUUACUGUCGCUUCCAUGGGACAUGGCUCUGCCACAUCGGCCUCUCGGCCGCUGAGCGCCCAUGGGAGACCAGUACACAAACUCUUGUAUUUUUUGACGUCUGUCUGAAUUGUUAUUUUAAAAACAUUUA